UGGCAACGGGUGAGUAAUACAUCGGAACGUGUCCGCUCGUGGGGGACAACCAGCCGAAAGGUUGGCUAAUACCGCAUGAGUUCUACGGAAGAAAGAGGGGGACCCGCAAGGGCCUCUCGCGAGCGGAGCGGCCGAUGACUGAUUAGCCGGUUGGUGAGGUAACGGCUUACCAAAGCAACGAUCAGUAGCUGGUCUGAGAGGACGACCAGCCACACUGGGACUGAGACACGGCCCAGACUCCUACGGGAGGCAGCAG
rnacentral:rRNA from 1 species